rnacentral:rRNA from 1 species
GACGAACGCUGGCGGCGUGCUUAACACAUGCAAGUCGAACGGUGAAGGGACCGGUUUUUGCUGGUUCUGGAUGAGUGGCGAACGGGUGAGCAACACGUGAGUAACCUGCCCCCUUCUUCUGGAUAACCGCAUGAAAGUGUGGCUAAUACGGGAUAUUCUGCGCCUGCUGCAUGGUGGGUGUGGGAAAGAUAUUGUUUCGGUGGGGGAUGGGCUCGCGGCCUAUCAGCUUGUUGGUGGGGUGAUGGCCUACCAAGGCGGUGACGGGUAGCCAGCCUGAGAGGGUGGACGGUCACACUGGGACUGAGACACGGCCCAGACUCCUACGGGAGGCAGCAGUGGGGAAUAUUGCACAAUGGGCGCAAGCCUGAUGCAGCGACGCCGCGUGAGGGAUGGAGGCCUUCGGGUUGUAAACCUCUUUCGCCAGUGAAGCAGGCCUGUCCCUUUUGUGGGUGGGUUGACGGUAGCUGGAUAAGAAGCGCCGGCUAACUACGUG